AUACGUAGGGGGCGAGCGUUGUCCGGAAUGAUUGGGCGUAAAGGGCGCGUAGGCGGCCGCUUAAGUCUGGAGUGAAAGUCCUGUUUUCAAGAUGGGAAUUGCUUUGGAUACUGGGGGGCUUGAGUGCAGGAGAGGUUAUCGGAAUUCCCGGUGUAGCGGUGAAAUGCGUAGAGAUCGGGAGGAACACCAGUGGCGAAGGCGGGUAACUGGACUGCAACUGACGCUGAGGCGCGAAAGUGUGGGGAGCAAACAGGAUUAGAUACCCUGGUAGUCCACACUGUAAACGAUGAAUGCUAGGUGUAAGAGGUAUCGACCCCUUUUGUGCCGGAGUCAACACAAUAAGCAUUCCGCCUGGGGAGUACGGCCGCAAGGUUGAAACUCAAAGGAAUUGGCGGGG
rnacentral:rRNA from 1 species